rnacentral:piRNA from 1 species
UACAACGGAACGAAUGACGGGCGUCAC